UUGUUCACACUUUGGCAACACAUACACAAAAAUGGCAUGAGAGAGAGAAGAUUAGCAUGGCCCAUGUGCCAAGAUGAUAUGCAAAUUUAUGAAGUGUUCCCUUUUUUU